rnacentral:rRNA from 1 species
CCUACGGGAGGCAGCAGUGGGGAAUUUUGGACAAUGGGCGCAAGCCUGAUCCAGCCAUGCCGCGUGUGGGAAGAAGGCCUUCGGGUUGUAAACCACUUUUGUCAGGGAAGAAACGGCUUUUUCUAAUACAGAGAGCUAAUGACGGUACCUGAAGAAUAAGCACCGGCUAACUACGUGCCAGCAGCCGCGGUAAUACGUAGGGUGCAAGCGUUAAUCGGAAUUACUGGGCGUAAAGCGUGCGCAGGCGGCUUUGCAAGACAGAUGUGAAAUCCCCGGGCUCAACCUGGGAACUGCAUUUGUGACUGCAUGGCUAGAGUACGGUGGAGGGGGAUGGAAUUCCGCGUGUAGCAGUGAAAUGCGUAGAUAUGCGGAGGAACACCGAUGGCGAAGGCAAUCCCCUGGACCUGUACUGACGCUCAUGCACGAAAGCGUGGGGAGCAAACAGGAUUAGAUACCCUGGUAGUCCACGCCCUAAACGAUGUCAACUGGUUGUUGGACGGCUUGCUGUUCAGUAACGAAGCAACGCGUGAAGUUGACCGCCUGGGGAUCGGCCGCAAGGUUGAAACGUCGAAAGAGAGUAGNGNGNGAGAGCGACGACGACGACGACGGAGGGAGGAGG